rnacentral:tRNA from 1 species
GGUAGCGUAGUUCAGUGGUAGAUUAUGUCCUUAUUCUGUGCAAGGCCAGGGUUCAAUCCCCAGCAUCA